AGCGUAAGGGCAAGAGCGCGGCCGAAAACCUUCAGGCUCUGUGAGAUUGCGCUUCUGAUACGUGACCACGGAUGUACUGGCACGGAUCAUCGAGGCGCCUGGGAGAGGCCGGGUUCGCCCGGCCUUUUUCCUA
rnacentral:sRNA from 1 species